rnacentral:rRNA from 1 species
CUACGGGGCGCAGCAGUGGGGAAUAUUGCACAAUGGAGGAAACUCUGAUGCAGCAACGCCGCGUGGAGGAUGACACUUUUCGGAGCGUAAACUCCUUUUAUAUAGGAAGAAGAUGACGGUACUAUAUGAAUAAGCGCCGGCUAACUCCGUGCCAGCAGCCGCGGUAAUACGGAGGGCGCAAGCGUUACUCGGAAUCACUGGGCGUAAAGAGCGUGUAGGCGGAUUAGAAAGUCAGAAGUGAAAUCCUAUAGCUUAACUAUAGAACUGCUUCUGAAACUCUUAAUCUAGAAUGUGGGAGAGGUAGAUGGAAUUUCUGGUGUAGGGGUAAAAUCCGUAGAGAUCGGAAGGAAUACCGAUUGCGAAGGCGAUCUACUAGAACAUUAUUGACGCUGAGACGCGAAAGCGUGGGGAGCAAACAGGAUUAGAUACCCCCGUAGUC